UAGGGGCACAGAGUUGCAGUUGAUUGAAACUAAAUCAUGUGCGCUAAGUUGUCCCGAAAUCAUAUUCGGAUGAUAAGAAAACAGUGUUCGUUUCAUGGAACACCGUUGAUAAACUAUUCGAACACUU
rnacentral:snoRNA from 1 species